AGAUUGAACGCUGGCGGCGUGCCUAACACAUGCAAGUCGAGCGGUAACAGGUGUAGCAAUACAUGCUGACGAGCGGCGAACGGGUGAGUAAUGCUUUGGAAUCUUCCCAGUAGUGGGGAAUAACCAGUCGAAAGAUUGGCUAAUACCGCAUACGUCUGUAAAGGGAAAGCGGGGGCUCGUAAGACCUCGCGCUAUUGGAUGAGCCAAAGUCGGAUUAGCUAGUUGGUGGGGUAAUGGCCUACCAAGGCGACAAUCCGUAGCUGGUCUGAGAGGACGACCAGCCACACCGGAACUGAGACACGGUCCGGACUCCUACGGGAGGCAGCAGUGGGGAAUAUUGGACAAUGGGGGAAACCCUGAUCCAGCGACGCCGCGUGUGUGAAGAAGGCCUGCGGGUUGUAAAGCACUUUUAGUGGGGACAAAAAGCUACGGAUUAAUACUCUGUGGUCUUGAUUUAACCCAAGAAAAGCACGGCUAACUCUGCGCCAGCAGCCGCGGUAA
rnacentral:rRNA from 1 species